rnacentral:rRNA from 1 species
GAUGAACGCUGGCGGCGUGCCUAAUACAUGCAAGUCGAGCGAACGGACGAGAAGCUUGCUUUUCUGAUGUUAGCGGCGGACGGGUGAGUAACACGUGGAUAACCUACCUAUAAGACUGGGAUAACUUCGGGAAACCGGAGCUAAUACCGGAUAAUAUUUUGAACCGCAUGGUUCAAAAGUGAAAGACGGUCUUGCUGUCACUUAUAGAUGGAUCCGCGCUGCAUUAGCUAGUUGGUAAGGUAACGGCUUACCAAGGCAACGAUGCAUAGCCGACCUGAGAGGGUGAUCGGCCACACUGGAACUGAGACACGGUCCAGACUCCUACGGGAGGCAGCAGUAGGGAAUCUUCCGAAAUGGGCGAAAGCCUGACGGAGCAACGCCGCGUGAGUGAUGAAGGUCUUCGGAUCGUAAAACUCUGUUAUUAGGGAAGAACAAAUGUGUAAGUAACUGUGCACGUCUUGACGGUACCUAAUCAGAAAGCCACGGCUAACUACGUG